CAGCAUGUAUGUGCCAUACACACACACACACACACACACACACACACAAACACACACACACAUACACAUCAUUCGCCCCUUAGGAGCAGUAUAUUUUUAUCAUUCUCUUUCUCCUUCAAGCCACAUGAAGAGCUAUUGCUUGUGUAGUUCAGUAAGGAGUCAAAUAAGUUAAGACAUAGAAAAUGAAACCCAGGGAGAAAAAGAUCAAAAGGGAUUGAAAAGCUUAAUUCUGAAGAACAGAGACUGAAAGAUUCUCCAUAGCAAUUUAUAAACAUGACAGCUUACACAGAGGUUGGUGACCAAUGGCUACCAAUCUCCUAUCAUUGAAAAUCUUCUCAUCUUUGGUGCAAGAAUGCAGAUCUAGCUUCAUGAGGUCGACUUAAAAAAUAGGCACACCCGAAAAGUUGAGAGUUAAGUUUUAUUGCAGGAGAAAUGAGGACUCUGAAAAACCACUCCAAAGAGGUCGGGGGGGGGGUCAUAUGUAUGUGAUUUUGGUAAAGAGGGAAGGUACAUGCAACCAGGCACACUUUUUGCAGAAGUUUGCUGCUAGUCCUGUGAAAGUUACUGCUAGUCACGAGGAGCAGGUGUCACCAUGAGGGAUCUUAGUGUUUUUCUAGAUACAAGGAGAUGCAAGAAUUGGGCUCGUCAACUCUUCUCCUGAAAAUAUCUAAUUAUCUGAAGACCAGUUCUGCCAGCUUUCCCAGAGCCCAGAGCGUCUCACUCCUGGUCUCCACCCUGAGCUCCUUUCAGGGGAGGCAGAGAGCGAGUGCCAAUCCCCAGUUCACAACACUGAACACAACAAGAAUGGAUUUAAACCUCAUGAUGAGAAUUCCUGGUUCGUUAUAACUAAAACUUCCGGGGAAUAAGACAGCUGUUGGAUACCAGCAUGGUUUAUACCAAAUGAAGGCUUGAAAAGGGAAACUCUCUUUCUCUGAGGUCCAUUUCAGCACUCUUCUUGCUCCCAGUCACUGCCUGCUACCCCUGGAUAUAUGCACUCUUUCCCUUUUUCCCAUGCACUCUUUCCCUUUUCUUCUGUUUUUAAGCUCUAACUUAUUUCAAGGAAUAAUUCAAAUACCACUAUGUUGAUUUUCACCUUCAAUGAACCCCUGCAACAGAGCAGAACUUUGGAGUUUAUAGACAUACCAUCAGUAUUUUCAACUGUUGUAGGGGAUUCCAAUUUUUACUACUUCCCUUGGGCAUUAGAAUCACGAUGUACAGGAGGAAAUCACUGACUAGUGUGGGAAUUUAGUUUGCCGUUGUGCAUCUACAGCUUAAUGAGCUUGUGUUGUUUUUUAUCUAUGUUCGUCAUGUAGUAACUUCUGACCAUGAAAUGUAGAAUCGUCAAGCUUCUCAGCUUAUAUAUCUAGCAAAUCCCAAUAAUCUGCACUACCUAAAGUCUGUAUAUAGAAUGUAACUAGGGGUCCAGAAAGGGUCUAACUUGAAUAUAUCUCCCCCAGGAAGUCUGCAAGAUCACGUCAUACGUCCUGUUCCUCAAUUUACAUAUAAAAUCAUUUCAGCAAGUAGGAAAUGAAUUUAAACUUCAUUUUCACAGUUCCUGGUAAAUUAUAGGAAAUAUCUAGGGGGAAAAAAAUGUUUGGGAGAAUUUAGGUUCAGUAUACAAUGGUCGAGUCCAAUAAUUUUACACAAGUUACAUUGAACUUGCCCUUGUACUUAAGUAUCGCAGAAAACAGCCAGUGAGAAUGAGUUCCACCUUAAACCAUGGAGAAAUGGCAGGGAACAUGUGCUGUUAGUGCAGGGAAAGUGGGAUCAUACCAUAGAAGUUUCCUUGGUCCAACUCUAUGAAAAUUUAGCCCAAAUCCUUUGGACAUGAUCUCUAACAUAUUAAAGUAAAAAUAUUGUUCAGAGGCCAAGCAAGCUGUACAUUUCUACACUGAACCUUGAAAAAGCCCAAUAUCACUGAUUAAAACCAUUGCAUGAGCAGAUAAAUGCAUGAGAAACCAAGUAUAGGUAUUUACCAGACUGUAUUAACUGAG
rnacentral:lncRNA from 1 species